UGACUGCAAUCCGAUAUCUAUCUGCAGCAGCUGGGGCUCUGAAGCCCUGCCCAUGGCUGCAGCUGGAGGGUCCUGCAGAAUUAGCUGUGCGUAUGUGGGUGUGCCUUUGUGAACUAACAAUACCACCUGGCUCCAGGGAGGUGUUCCCCAAACAGGUCAGGUGCUUCAGGAGAGGCAAUUUGGCCACUGAACAUGUAGGAACUUGGGGAAGUCUUGCUUUCUUCAGACUCUGGAUAAGAGCACAGAACAGCAUAAAGGAGCUGCAGGAUCAGAGAAAGUGCAUUGAAUGCAGAAUCCUUUGGCAUGGGAAAAACCUCAGGAAGCACAAUACUGCAACCUCUGCAGCCGCUCUGACCUACUGGAAUUGAACUCUGAUCUUCUGCAUAAUAAAGAUGAGUACUUCUUAGUGAUGCAAAUUUAGGAAAGGAAGAAUGUCUGCUACUAGGAGCCUCUCUCUCCAGAAAACACAUUUCAACUAUAACGGUGUUACACAACUCUGAAUUUCGAGCCUAAACAAGAUUUCUCAGGCUCUACAACAAAUCUCUGAAUGGAAGAAGGAAUUAUUUCUGUGUAAAAAUGGAUAAAAUGUUGUUCCUGUUGCCCCGAUCAAGAGGAAAGGCGGAAAGAGAAGCCACAAAAAUUCCCCCAAGAGAUUGAAAUGUUUGACUACUCAAGCACUGCUGCCAUUGGAUUGCUUGACGUCUGAAUCCAGUCCUGGUACCAGCAAGAUGGAACAGAGGAAAUGUACCGCUGAUCCAGUGGUGUCUCAAAAGAGGAUUCCAGGGGUGAUCGUGGGACCUACAAAAAUGG
rnacentral:lncRNA from 1 species